UGGAUAACCAAGGAAAAAGCUGACCUUUACCCAGCACAGUGCCAGAGAAGGAGCUUAGCAGAGAUCAGGCGUAUACAUAUCUAGGGGAUAUCAGUGUGAUUGUUCCUCCAAAUGUUUGUGAAGUGGUAGAAAAAUCUGGAGAGCCCAGAGUGGAUGCUCCCUGAGUCCUGUGAGCGGCCGCAUGUCUGACCCUGAGUGUUAAAUGAUUGAGCAAGUGAAGGCGACAGAGAUUUGUGAUUAAAAGCAAGAACAAGAGACAGAUAAGAGAACGGAAGACACUGGGAAUAAAUGAAAGCCAAAAGACGAGGGGACAGCGGUUCCAACAGGGUGAGUCACCUGGCCAAUCCAGAAGACAAGGCUGUGCUCUGGGGAGUAGGAGAAAGUUUGGCCCAAAUAACCAGGGUGAACCAACAGGGGAACCUUCAGACUACAUUCCCUGAAUGUACAGACAGCAGCAUUUACAGCAGGAAUUGCUUUUCAAUAUGCCCACAAUGGCUUCAACACUGCCUCUUGCAGAACCUGAUGACUCUUUCCCAACACCUGGCUUCUAAGAAGCUGAAUGAAGAGACAAUAUGGAGUCUGGUAGUGAAAGCCGGUUCUUCAGAGGCCUUGCCCUGCCCCCUCUCUAACUAUCUGGAGAGGCCAGCUGCCCCAUCUUGGGAACAUGUCAACAUGGAAAGAUGCUGUGUGAAGAUCUGAGGUCUCCUACUACAACUCAAGAAGGAUAGAGGCAUUUCCCCACAGCCAUGUGGGUACACCAACCUGGAAGGAGAUUCUCUAGGCCCAGUCAAGCUUUCAGAUGACUACAUCACUAGCAGACAUCCUGGACUAAAGCCUCAUCAGAUAUCCUGAACCAGAACCAUGCAGUAAAGAUGCUCUCCAAACUCCUGGAUACUCAUAAGCUCUGUGGCACAGCAAACCAUCAUUUCCAGCUAGUGUGUGUUAGCCUAAGUUAUAAUGUAGCAAUAAGAAGUAACAAAAUGAGAUACUGUGGUUGAAAGAGUUGAAAGACAGAUGAGCAUCCAUAAUGAGUUCUGAUGCCCACUUCUG
rnacentral:lncRNA from 1 species